GCCCACCCAAGGUCUUAAGCAGCCCAGCACUUGGUAUUUGGAAAGUUUGCAGUGACCACUUCAUCUGAACAAGCGGCAUCCUCAAGUUCAGUUAAAUGAAGACUGAUGGGUGCAGGUGUCAGGUAUUUGGUCUCAGCGAUGAGAAAGACACUUGAGCUGGAGGCAGAUGAGAAGGAAGGAGCUAGAGAAAGAAUCUGGCCCAGACCCCAGGUGUGCGACAGACACCUGGCUCAGGCAAGGCCUGCGGAUGCUUGGGAGCCACCGUCACCAUUGUUGCCACGUUAGAGGGAAAAAAGAAAUCUUCUGGGUAUUUGGCUCCUGCGCAUGAUCCUGGACCCUAUGGCGUCACCCACAGACCUGCCACUACCAGUUAUAACUGAAGUCCCAGCCAGCUCCAGCAAGAAUAGUGCAGUUCACUAAUGAUGUCGAAUGGCCACCACUUAAUUCCACUGAAAUCUCAUUGGUAAGCAGGGCUUUAUCAAAACUUCUGAC
rnacentral:lncRNA from 1 species